rnacentral:rRNA from 1 species
AACGAACGCUGGCGGCAUGCCUAACACAUGCAAGUCGAACGAAGGCUUCGUCCUUAGUGGCGCGCUUGUGCGUAACGCGUGGGAAUCUGCCCUUGGGUUCGGAAUAACGUCGGGAAACUGACGCUAAUACCGGGUGAUGACGUAAGUCCAAAGAUUUAUCGCCCAAGGAUGAGCCCGCGUCGGAUUAGCAGGUUGGUGAGGUAAAAGCUGACCAAGGCGACGAUCCGUAGCUGGUCUGAGAGGAUGAUCAGCCACACUGGGACUGAGACACGGCCCAGACUCCUACGGGAGGCAGCAGUGGGGAAUAUUGGACCAUGGGCGAAAGCCUGAUCCAGCAAUGCCGCGUGAGUGAUGAAGGCCGUAGAGUUGUAAAGCUCUUUUACCCGGGAUGAUAAUGACCGUACCGGGAGAAUAAGCUCCGGCUAACUCCGUG